rnacentral:rRNA from 1 species
AGUUUGAUCCUGGCUCAGAACGAACGCUGGCGGCAGGCUUAACACAUGCAAGUCGAACGCCCCGCAAGGGGAGUGGCAGACGGGUGAGUAACGCGUGGGAACGUACCUUUCGCUUCGGAAUAUUCCCGGGAAACUGGGAGCAAUGCCGAAUACGCCGUAUUGGGAAAGAUUUAUCGGCGAAAGAUCGGCCCGCGUUAGAUUAGGUAGUUGGCGGUGUAAUGGACCACCAAGCCUACGAUCUAUAGCUGGUCUGAGAGGAUGAUCAGCCACACUGGGACUGAGACACGGCCCAGACUCCUACGGGAGGCAGCAGUGGGGAAUCUUGGACAAUGGGCGAAAGCCUGAUCCAGCCAUGCCGCGUGUGUGAUGAAGGCCCUAGGGUUGUAAAGCACUUUCGGUUGGGGAUGAUAAUGACCGUACCCAAAGAAGAAGCACCGGCUAACUUCGUG